GCCAGCAUGGUGAAGUGGUUUAACAUUGGACUGUGACUCUGGAGAUUAGGGUUCGAACCCCUGCUCACC